AGGAGACAAAGGGCUACACUGAGAGCUUAGUGGGAUACUUCAAACAAUACACAGCAUGGGUUAAAAACUCGUUGACGGCAGAGGUUGCCCAGUGCAAACCCAUCAGUAACAUUGUGGACAGCAUGGAGAUAGUAGGAUGCAGCUUCAUAGUCGAUUCAGUGAACACAUUCUGGUUUGGUCUUGGAGGCUGCUGCAUCCUUCUGAUUCCCAGUAUUAUCUUCUCUAUCAAACUGGCCAAGUAUUAUCGAAGAAUGGACACAGAGGACGUCUUCGAAGACACUUCUUACCCGUGGCUUGUUGCACUUUAAUGUUUGUCCGUCAUUCAUGCGUCCUUCCGUCCUCUUCUACGUUCCCACUCCCCUGUUUCAUAUGGGAUACUUGAGCUCUGGAUCUCUGCACAUUUUUCUUACUUUUUGAUCAGAAGUCAAAAGCUCUGUCCCUUCCUCUUCACACAAAUCUUCAUUUCAUCGUCUUCUCCGCCUCUAUUUUUCAACUACAUUUCCAUCUUGAGAGAUGCUUUCUGAGGAUCACUCCAUCCAUGAUGCUUCCAAUGGAGUCCUCACAUUGCUUCUCUCACCUGACCCCCUGCUCUUUUGUUGCAGUCUGGGUAAUACAGGUAAUCAUGGUGAGCAUAUUCGUGAAAUCCAUGGAGAUCUUGCUGUACUCAGCUCUCCCUAUUCUGACACUCUGACCCGGUUCCCCCGGGCAUCUGCUCCACCAAGCUACUCCGACUGGUGAGCCAAAGGAAAUCGUCGAUGAGCGGACAAGACACCUGGAACUGAUAAUUCCCUCUUGAAUCACUGGACUUUCAAACCUUCCUUCUCUGGGAAGAUCAGCAACAAUCAGGAACUGUGUGGUGAGGGCAUCACACCCCCGGCACCCCUCCAAGCCAUUUGACAAGGACCUCUAAUGCCAGCCAAUUGUAAAAUAUCAUGUGUUCUCUCAACCCACCUGAAUGAAGCCCCAGCAGUACACCAGGAGUCCUGUUAGUGUACUCAGUCUGUACAAUAUCUCCCAUCAGUACUAUGUACCUCCAUAGCUAGUUUUUACUGUAUUUGUAGAGAAAACAUUUGUUUGUACUGAUGAGUUUUAACAUGGUGACACAAGUGUACAUUUUUUACAGCUUUCAAAACUUUUGAAAGUUUUAUAUAUUUUUGUUAAUGUUUGUUUUAUAACAUGUUUGAAGCUUUUGUAGUAUUAGCUCUUCUAUUCUUUGUGAAUAAUUGUAAUUUAGCUUGAAUCAUUUCGGUUCCACAGGUUACAUUGAUCAGGGAAUUCAAGGACUGCUAAACAGUUUUGGAAAUACAUUCAUUAGCUUUAUGCCAAGAGUUAGAUGAGAAGAUGCACCUCUGAUAUCUUUUUAUGAAUUGCAAAUAGCAGGUUAGCCUAAAUUCAAAUAUGGUAUAAAAAAAACAAACAGCCUAUAGCCAUGAUAGCAUUUGUGCUUCUAUCUUUAUGCUACUAUCAGCAUGCUAAAAGCAUCAGAAUAACAGUGCUAACAUGAUUAUGUUUAGCAUCCAUUGUGUUUCUCCAAUGCACCAUCUUAUCUUAACUAAACAGAAUAAGAUGGGCAGUGACCCUUUAUCUGAUAAUUAUCCAACAGUGUGCAUUCAUGUUUUUUGGGGGGAUUGACUUAGUCAUUUUUUGAAUGGAUACUUUCAAAUGUUGCUUACUCUUGCUGUUUUUUUCCAAAGUUGCCUACCAGAGCUUUAAACACACAAGAUAAAAUGAAUUAGAAGUUUUCUGUUAAGGUGCUUGUAUGUGUAUUUUGUUUCCUUUGUUCAGAGCUAGGCAAGCCAUGUAACCAUUUUCAGUCUUUGUGCUGUGCUCAGCUAUGCUAAGCUAAAGGCCUCUUGGCUGUUGCUUUUUUAUCUUCUCAGCUAACUCUCAGAAUAAAGCCAAAAGAAAAAACAUUUCAUUUUAACUUCAAACUUUCAUGAGGAAAGUGGCACUCUAAAUUAUUGAACAAUAUCGCUCGCAAUUCAACAUAGCACAUAAGCUCCACACACAAACCCUCACAGGGAAUUAAGACAGCUAACAAACAAAAUACUGUGUCUUAGGCAUCUCUGGCCACAACAUGAGUGACAGCCCAGUCUAUAAUGUUGUGGCUAGAGAUGCUUGUGUUUACAGAGUUUGUUUUGUUUUUCUUUGCCAUACUGUGGUUUAAGAAAUUAAACACCAAGAACCUCCAUGAUGACAGUGACCUGUUAAAGGAAAAAAAAACACUUAAAAAGUGACUGAACAGCUGGAGUUUGUAAGGAAAGCAAUAAUCAG